rnacentral:rRNA from 1 species
GACGAACGCUGGCGGCGUGCUUAACACAUGCAAGUCGAACGGAAAGGCCCUGCUUUUGUGGGGUGCCCGAGGGGCGAACGGGGGAGUAACACGUGAGUAACCUGCCCUACACUUUGGGAUAACUUCAGGAAACUGGGCCUAAUACCGGAUAGGAGCCCCCGCUGCAUGGUGGGGGUUGGAACGUUUCAGCGGGUGCGGAUGGACUCGCGGGUUAUCAGCUUGUUGGUGGGGUAGGGGCUUACCGAGGCUUUGACGGGUACCCGGCCUGGGAGGGGGACCGGCCACAUUGGGACUGAGAGACGGACCAGACUCCUACAGGGGGCAGCAGUGGGGAAUAUUGCACAAUGGGCGGGAGCCUGAUGCAGCAACGCCGCGUGCGGGAAGACGGCCUUCGGGUUGUAAACCGCUUUCGCCUGUGACGAAGCGUGAGUGACGGUAAUGGGUAAAGAAGCACCGGCUAACUACGUG